UACCUCACUCUCAGAGACAAACAGACACACUUCACACUUCCCAGGAUUUCCAUGAAGAUGGGCUCAGUAACAAUGAGUUUCGCUUCAAUCUUAGCCAAUGGCUGCAGAAGUAUAAGUCCUCCUCCUGUGACCCUUGUGCGCACGUUAGCCACCACCCAUGUUGCUCUCAGCAAGAAGCACCAUAACAAGCACUUGGUGGCUGCUUGGUCUUCUGGGUGUUCAAAUAUUAGUGCCUUUGCAUGUGAAUCCUCAAAGUCAGAUGUUAUACACGCUGCUGCUACUACUUCUGUUAAUGGCUACCCUGAAUAUCAUCGGCUACUUCCAUGUCCCUCGGACAAUGGCCCGCCAAGAAUCGAACACUUGGUUGUCUCAAAAGGUGGGCCUGUUCAAGAAUAUAUCUGUAAAGCUCUGGAUCUUCCUGCGCUGUUUGUUGCAGAUCUCAUCCAUUUUGGAGCUGUAUAUUAUGCCCUUGUAUGUCCAAAGCCUCCUCCAAGUGCCACUGAAGAGCAAAUUAGGAUAUUUAAAGAAUUUACAGCUCCAUCAGUUCUGAGAAAAAGAGUUUCCAUCAAAGGGAAAACAAUACGAGAAGCACAGAAAACUUUUAGGAUAACUCAUGUAGAUCAGUUUGUUGAAGCUGGAACAUACUUACGAGUGCAUGUACACCCAAAACGCUUCCCAAGGUGCUAUGAAAUUGACUGGAAAUCAAGAAUUAUAGCUGUGUCUGAGUCCUAUGUGGUUUUGGACAAGCCUGCCGGUACAUCAGUUGGAGGAACUACAGACAACAUAGAAGAAAGUUGCGCAACUUUUGCCACUCGUGCCUUGGGUUUUACAACCCCUUUGAAGACUACCCACCAGAUUGAUAAUUGCACAGAAGGCUGUGUUGUGUUGGCUAGGACCAAGGAGUAUUGCUCUGUUUUUCAUGGUAAAAUUAGAGAGAAAAAGGUGAAGAAGCUUUAUCUUGCUCUUGCUGCUGCUCCGGUGCCAAUAGGAAUAAUUGCCCACUACAUGCGUCCAGUUAACAUGGCUCCAAGACUCAUUUCAGAAGAUUUUAUUAAAGGAUGGAACUUAUGUCAACUUGAGGUCUUGGAAUGCAAGGAGGUUCCAUGGCCAAAUGCUGUCAUUGAAAAGAAAUAUUGUGUGGAGGAUUGUGGCUGGCCCUCCCAGCAUAUUGCAUAUGAGUGUAAAAUCAACCUUCUGACUGGUCGGACUCAUCAGAUUCGAGCACAGCUGGCUGCCUGCAGUGCACCAUUGGUGGGUGACUCAAUGUACUUGCCAGCUGCAAUUGCAGAGAUGAGAAGUCCUGGGCUUAACCCAUUUGGCAGAUACAAGCAAAAUUAUACUAGUGAGACUGAUGAAGCAAAGGCUGUUACAGAGUGGAUUGAACAACAUGGAAAAGAACCAAAUGUUGUUAUUGGUCUUCAAGCUUGUCAGAUUUCAUGGGAUGAUGGUGAACACAUGUAUGAGGCUGGGUCUCCUUGGUGGAGAUGUGAAAUUGCUUAGAAUAGGUACUUGAAGAUAUGGAUCAACUGCAGCAUUCCGUUAACUUUUAAGCUAAAGUUGAGGUAUGUAUUAUUGAAGGCAUGACUCAAUUCAAGGAAGGAUGAAAUCUAAAUGGCCCAUGUGUGGCAUGAUCAACGUGGUGAAGUCCAAAUCUUACUGUAUAUCCAAAUAUCCACUCGAAGUUGUCAAGCAAGGACCAAGCGAAGUAACCCCUCACAUCUGCUCCUUUUCUGAUCACAUAUAAAAAGGAAAAUGGAAAAAUAAAUAUGAAGUUGUCUCAAAAUCUCUUCAGCUCUAUGAAUGAGCUUCUCCAGCUAUUUAAUAUGUGAAAGUUAUCCCUGGAACUAAAUCAGGUCCCUUUUGGAGCUGGUUUUCUGUCUUAAUGAAUUGUCUAAACCAUAUGUGCUACAAAAAAAUAUAGUUACAUGUAGGCUGGUGUAAUGAUCUUUUUAGUCAACAUUAGAAUUUGUAAGAUAAGAAAAUGAUAGGCCAUGAUUCUGUUACUUAUACUUGAUGGCACAGCAUGUUGGCAUGUUCAUUACCUUAUUGCCACCGAUAGUGCAUCUAGAUAGCCAGCUAUGUAGUUCGCUCUUCUGACAUCAUGGAGGAAAUCUUCAAUGGUGGAAUUUGGAUUGUAGACUUCGCCAUACCCUAUGGAGAGCAAUUACAUUUACUUUUAAAAUAUGUAAAGGAAUUUUUA